rnacentral:rRNA from 1 species
UACAGAGGUGGCAAGCGUUGUUCGGAAUUACUGGGCGUAAAGGGCCAGUAGGCGGCCAACUAAGUCGGAUGUGAAAUCCCCAGGCUCAACCUGGGAACUGCAUCCGAUACUGGAUGGCUUGAAUUCGGGAGAGGGAUGCAGAAUUCCAGGUGUAGCGGUGAAAUGCGUAGAUAUCUGGAGGAAUACCGGUGGCGAAGGCGGCAUCCUGGACCGACAUUGACGCUGAACGGCGAAAGCUAGGGGAGCAAACGGG